GACGAACGCUGGCGGCGUGCUUAACACAUGCAAGUCGAACGGUAAGGCCCUACGGGGUACACGAGUGGCGAACGGGUGAGUAACACGUGGGUGAUCUGCCCUGCACUUCGGGAUAAGCCUGGGAAACUGGGUCUAAUACCGGAUAGGACUCCUGCCUGCAUGGGUGGGGGUGGAAAGCUUUUGCGGUGUGGGAUGGGCCCGCGGCCUAUCAGCUUGUUGGUGGGGUGAUGGCCUACCAAGGCGACGACGGGUAGCCGGCCUGAGAGGGUGACCGGCCACACUGGGACUGAGGUGCGGCCCAGACGCCGACGGGGGGCAGCAGUGGGGAAUAUUGCACAAUGGGCGCAAGCCUGAUGCAGCGACGCCGCGUGAGGGAUGACGGCCUUCGGGUUGUAAACCUCUUUCAGCACAGACGAAGCGCAAGUGACGGUAUGUGCAGAAGAAGGACCGGCCAACUACGUGCCAGCCGCCGCGGUAA
rnacentral:rRNA from 1 species